rnacentral:tRNA from 1 species
GUAAGCAUAGUUUAACCAAAACAUUAGAUUGUGAAUCUAAAAAUAGAAAUUUAACUCUUCUUGCUUACC